AUUGAACGCUGGCGGCAUGCUUUACACAUGCAAGUCGAACGGUAACAGGCCGCAAGGUGCUGACGAGUGGCGAACGGGUGAGUAAUGCAUCGGAACGUGCCCAGUCGUGGGGGAUAACGCAGCGAAAGCUGCGCUAAUACCGCAUACGAUCUGUGGAUGAAAGCGGGGGACCGAAAGGCCUCGCGCGAUUGGAGCGGCCGAUGUCAGAUUAGGUAGUUGGUGGGGUAAAGGCCCACCAAGCCAACGAUCUGUAGCUGGUCUGAGAGGACGACCAGCCACACUGGGGCUGAGACACGGCCCAGACUCCUACGGGAGGCAGCAGUGGGGAAUUUUGGACAAUGGGCGAAAGCCUGAUCCAGCAAUGCCGCGUGCAGGAAGAGGGCCUUCGGGUUGUAAACUGCUUUUGUACGGAACGAAAAGACUCUGGUUAAUACCUGGGGUCCAUGACGGUACCGUAAGAAUAAGCACCGGCUAACUACGUGCCAGCCGCCGCCGUAAGAC
rnacentral:rRNA from 1 species